rnacentral:lncRNA from 1 species
GAACCAGUCGGAUCCUGACUCGCUCUUCUAACUGGUUCUGAGUUGUGCUAAAAACCGAAUUUGAGUUAAAUCAGACCUAGUUCAAUAUUAAAACCCAGUUUUCGCAAAUUCAAGUUAAAAAAUAAAAACAAAUUGCAAAUUUUAAUAAGAUUUCAUCAAAAUUUAAUAAUGUUUUCUACUACAUAUAUAAAUAAAUUAGUUUUAGUUUUUUUUUUUAUUUUUUUAUUUAUAUUUCAUAUCAGUUUUAAAAUAUAACAUUGAUAUAAACUUAUAUCAAAAUUAAUUUAUAGUUAUACUUACAUAUAUAUAGUUACUUAAUUUAAAAUUAAAUUAAAAUUAAGCGGUUAAACUGAUUAAACCGGUCUGACCAUUGACCGAGGUGCAAUGUUGAAUCAGUGUAAUACGAAGGUAUGCAUCAUAUGUUCGAUAAUCUACAUAUAGGGUCCAAAAAUAUGUACAUUAAUA